UGAGUAUUAAUGCUUUUUGAGGAGUUAAGUAUAUAGGAAAAUGGAAAAGUUUGAAUUCUAUUUAUUUUGAUGAAUAUAUAUGUAAAAUGUGGGAAUUAAAGGAAUUUAAAUAGUUUGUUAAUAUACAUAUUUGGAUAGAUAAUUUAUGAGUAAAAGAAGAACAAAAAGAAAGAAAAAAUUAAAAUUUAACAGAAUGAUGAAAUGAUUUUGUUAUCAGAAAUGAGAAGAAAUAUAUGAUCAUCAUAUUAUUCAAACAUAUUUGAAGAUAGAACUGUACAAGAUUGAAGGAUCAUAUAUAUAUAUAUAUAUAU